rnacentral:rRNA from 1 species
AUUGAACGCUGGCGGCAGGCUUAACACAUGCAAGUCGAGCGGAGAUGAGGUGCUUGCACCUUAUCUUAGCGGCGGACGGGCGAGUAAUGCUUAGGAAUCUGCCUAUUAGUGGGGGACAACAUUCCGAAAGGAAUGCUAAUACCGCAUACGCCCUACGGGGGAAAGCAGGGGAUCUUCGGACCUUGCGCUAAUAGAUGAGCCUAAGUCGGAUUAGCUAGUUGGUGGGGUAAAGGCCUACCAAGGCGACGAUCUGUAGCGGGUCUGAGAGGAUGGUCCGCAACACUGGGACUGAGACACGGCCCAGACUCCUACGGGAGGCAGCAGUGGGGAAUAUUGGACAAUGGGCGGAAGCCUGAUCCAGCCAUGCCGCGUGUGUGAAGAAGGCCUUUUGGUUGUAAAGCACUUUAAGCGAGGAGGAGGCUACCUGGAUUAAUACUCUAGGAUAGUGGACGUUACUCGCAGAAUAAGCACCGGCUAACUCUGUGCCAGCAGCCGCCGUAACAC